CUGCCGCUUAGAGCUCCAUCACUCCCUUUGUCCUUGUAUCCUUUCCUCUAAUGUUUAUGACCCGUUUUCAAAGGCAUGUGCUGGUAUCUGAUGAUCUGUGUCUCUUCAAGUCUGUGCACAGACACGCAAUCCCGCUGCCUGGCAGUGCUUCCAGGGACAGCCGUCCUGCCGGCUCCCCUCCUCUGCCCCUUUCCGUGGAUAAAAAUGACUGAUGGAGCCCAUUACUUAUCUAUCAGAUAAUAGAUCUACUUCAACACAGAUUCCUUAUGAAACUCUCUCUUAGCAAAAUUUUUUUCUGGAUGUAGAGGAGGCGUUGGACUAAAACGUUGCUUUCCUGGGAAUGAAUUCUUUGCUCCUAUCAUUCUGCCAUGCUCUGUGGAGAGCUCAGCGAGUCUACAGACUUUCAGGACAACCUGUCACAGCCUCUAGGAACACACUAAAUAACUGUUAACCAAAGCAUGAAAUAUGAAACACAGCACAAGACAGAAUGAAGUGAAACUCUGCUCUGCUUUCAAAUCAUGCAUAAGCAGAUUCCCGUGCAAUAGGCACAGCUGAUUUUUUCCACUUCCCCUGUGUUUCCCUUGUGUUCUAAAAAAAAAAUAGUCACAAAAUAUUCCACCUACUUCAAGUCUUUGUUAUCCUAAGCUGGAUCUUAUAAAAAAUGAGCAGGGAAAGCACCAAUACAUCUGCAGAUGUGCUUUACUUGCUGGUUUUUAAGUCAGGAGAGCAGCGCAGCUGCCCCUGGAGGGUUUCUCUCCAUGCCCCCAAGUAGUUGGGGUGCAGGUGGGGCUAAGAUCACCCUUGCCCAGCUCCAAGGUGGCAAUUUAUGGAUGUUGUUAUGUAUAGGGUGCACAUUAAAAUCACCUAAAUGUGGUUAUUCGGUCCUUUUCACUCCGCUUUGCAGCUCUGCAGCUCUUUGCUGGUGAGCCAGCUUCCAUCCUGGCUCAGGCUAUGGUUGAGAUUUGGUAACUCAGCCCACACUUGUGCAGUCGAGCAGCUUCCAGUGCUGUGCAGAGCUGCAGCUUCUGCCUUCCUCCUUCCCACACAAACAGGCCCAAAACCCUAUGGCUUUCAGUGAUGGAUCUCCCUGCAGCAUAGCCAUGUUUGGAAGGAAAAAACCCACAGAUGUAUGCUCUGCCUUGCAGCUUCAUUGGAAGAAACAAGAGUAGCAGGCUCUGGAAAUAAAUCUGCCUCUCGCUCAGCACCAGAUCACCGACAAGUGUUCGUCCAUCUGCCAUCAGCAGUCAAACCGUGCGUCCGUCGGUGAGGUGUUACAGUGGUGUAAUUGAGUGAGGCUGUUUUGGAGUGGGCUCCGUGCCCACAUGGUGGGGCUGCUGGGGACUGAGAUGCUCCUCGGGAUCUUCUGGUGAUGGGUGGGAAUGGUGGAUCGGUGCCAGUGAUGGAGGGAGCUCAGCACAGCUGUCCCUCAAAUCCUUGUGCUGGGGUCUCAUCUGCAGCUCCUCGUAUCAGUUACUGGCCCCAGCACUGAACCUCUGCCCUAGCAUUUGGGUGUCAGUCCCUAUUGUCAUCACUCAUUCUGUGAUGUCCUUACACGGGCAGAAGGCGCACGUGCUUGUGUUACAUUCCCUGCAAUAUUGCAGCAGCUGGCAGUGUGACCUGUGCUUCCCAGGGCGGUGAUGUCCCUCCAGGGGCUUGGCUGGUCAUGGAACCCACAGACGGAGCCAUCAAGUUCUGCAAGGCCUCCCAAAAAUGUUGCCUGCAUCUGCACCACUGUGUCCCAUAACACUGCAAUGUGACAGAGACCCCAAGGAAAAUGGAGUCAGGAAGAUUAUGCUGAAGUUAUAGCUCAUUAAAGGAAAGCACACAGAGAUGUUUUUAUGUCGCUGUUACUUAUAAAAGAGCCAGUUAAGACCGCUUAUUACAGUAAUUACAGCAGCGUAAAGAGAGACCUAGCAAAGAUUACAGCACUUAGUAUACCAUCAUUGGGGCUUAAAUGAAACAUAUUUAGGACUCAAACAAGGCAUUUCCCACGUGGCAGGGCAAGAGAUGAAGAGGGCAGGAGAUGUCUGCAUGGGUAGCUUGGGUGGCUGCAGUGUCCCCAGCCCCAAGAGAGGGGCAGAGUUGGGACACAGGACCAGGUGGGUGACUUUUCAGGGGACAGCUUAAGGAACUCUUCUUAACCACCUCCAUCACACCGGCUGCUGCAGGGAUCAUGAAUCAAGAAAGAAACUGUGAAGGACCUACUUCUACCAUGUGACACGAUGCCCUAGUAAAUCCCCCGCUUACACCCCCAGCUUCCAGAGCUGGGAGGAACUGGACCAUGGAAUUUAAUAGCCCUGCUGGGACUUGUCCUCCCUUAAUUUAUCCAGACCCCCUCUGAUAAAGAAUUUAUGUUGUCACCUCUGAAGUUGGUGUCAUCUCAGACCAUGUACUCUUCUACAGCUGGAUUUAUACCAACAUCUACUUAAAACUCUCUUCAACCCUUUUCAUUACUUAUACAAACAACUUUGUCCUGCUUUGUUUCAUAAAGCCCAUAUUUUCAGAGCAGACUCUCCCACUGCAGAAUUUGCCAAAUUGAUAAAAAAAUUCCAGACUCCUCUUCCCUAUACAUCUCUCUCAGUCCUUCACAGAAUCUGCAUCUCUGCAUGGCCCCAUGCAGGGAGCAUCUCACAGGGCAUCCCUAUGCAGUCUGCUGCCUUCCUUCUUGCUGGCACUUCCAGAUAUUCCCCAGCACUCUCUAAGAUCAUAGAAUCAUAGAAUGGCCUGGGUUGAAAAGGACAAUAAUGAUCAUCUAGUUUCAAUCCCCUGCUAUGUGCAGGAUCACCAACCACCAGACCAGGCUGCCCAGAGCCACAUCCAGAUGCUCCAUGAUGUCUGUCACUCUCACCUUGCAAGGGUGAAGCCCUCACAGAAAUCACAAACCUGGUUUGGCUACUCUUGACUCUGUGGUUUAUGAACUGACUGCAGUGUCUAUAAUUUCUAUCCCACUUCCACAAGGUCACGGGGUCUCAGUAGGUGAUGCUCACUGCAGUACUCAUGCCUCCACAGCUGCAUUUUUAACCAAACACUGAUUCACUCUCAGCUGGUUUGCUUUUCCUUGAAUUAUUUCUUCAUUCACAGUUUGCUGAGGAAUCAAGACUGGAGAUGCCUGCAGCCAUCUCCUCUCCCACAGCUCAGCUUCUGCUGCAGCCAAAUUCUCCUUCCUUUGAUUGGCUCUGCAGCCCUAGGGGGCACCCAGUUGAGCACACACUGCACAUGAGAUGAUGCAGAUCGUGUUUUCUCUCAAAGGAGUACAAUGUGUGUUUGGCUCCACACAACUGGAUUCCAGUCUCCCAGAAGGAAGCAUGGCAUUCGACAAGGCGUUGCUCAGGUUGGGUUGUCAGGUUACAGCCAUCUGGAGUAUGUGGGAAGCCAGGUCAGCCAGCAGCAUACGUUUCACCCCUUAACAAAUAUCCAGAUGGUGCUUGCCCUGCUGAGCAGUGUCCUUUACAACAUCAGUGGCCUUGCGUGGAGCUCUUCUCCAGUUGCCCUCACAGAAAAGGGUAGGACAGGAAAAAUACAGGAAAACAUUUUCCUUUUUAAAUCCAAUUUAGGGGAUUUAGAAAGGACAUGAUGAUUUUUUAAGGGCUCCUAUGACGUGGUGGUGAAAAUGAGCGUGCAAACAAAUGCGUGUGAGAACUAAUGAUUUGUGUGCCAGUGUUCAGCAGGGGAUUGAGUUCCUAUUAAUUGCAGAGGAGUUGGGCUAGGUGACCUUUAAGGUUCCUUCCAACUGAAAUGGUUCUAUGAUACUAUGAUUCUUCACCCUUUUAGCAGAAGCUCCACGCCAGACCUUUGCUGGCCUGGGGUGGCUUUCCUGCUUGCAGUGAUGUGUGCAGGUGGCAUCACUGCUCAAAAAGGGUGGGCACUGGGGAGAUCUGGUGCCAAACCAAGCAGAUGAGUGUCUUCAGGUCACAGAAAUGGCUGAUCUUUGGGGAAUCCAUAGAAAAUCUUGACAGCUGGCAGCCUGUCCCAGGGAUACCCACCCCAGCACCCACCGCAACUGUGAUAUCCAUGGGCUCUGCAUGCACCCAUGCACCGCCCCUGCACUGAGACCACCAACACCUGACUGGCAUUAUCGCAGUUACAUGGCCAUCAACUGACUGCCCCUAUUGAGAACAAGCCUGAUUUACACCAGUGUAACCCAGCCAGCUUGGAUUUCCACCUCUGCAGCUGUAAGCAGAUGCAUCAGUUCUCCGUAGCCAAGCCUGCUUCUGAAACCUGCUCUCUUUUAUAGAGCCAGAUGUGUUUGAAUACCAGAGUUGAGCAGACACCUCCGACUGGCUGAUGCAUGCCUGGUUCAUUUUUCCAUUCAAUCCAUUUUCUCUGAAAAUGAGAUAUAAGCAAUGAAUUCAAUACAGUUUUAUUGGAUCCAAUGCACUGCCACUAAAACAAAUAUAUGUACACUCAGGCCACUACACUUUUAUUAAAACAAAUAGAAUUUAAUUCAAACCAGCAUUCAAUAGCUACGGCUUGGGUUUGUGGGGUUUUUUUUUCCUUUUUUUGUGAGUGUGUAUGUUUUAAAAGGGAUGAAAUUAAAUCCUCCUGGUACUUCUCAGUAUGUUCUCACAAUCAGAUUCAUUUGACCUAGGCAAUGUGUAUUUAUUAUAGGUAACACAUUUUUAUUAAACAGAAAUUUACAGAAACUAGAUGCAGACAGAAACCCGAACCACAUGUAAGGUUAGAUCAGGAGGACAGGGAGGAGGGUUCUCUGAUGGUUAUUUGUUAUGCUGGUAAAAAGCACUCCGUUCUACUCAGGAUUUAUUUCUUUUUCAGACUACCACACUUGGGGUGAUGGAUUUCUUCUCAAAAAAGAACUCUUGGAAGUCAGUGACUUUCUAGAAAAACCACACUGGCAGAUACAGGUAGACCAUGGAGAAGUGUUCACUGUUCUCUACAGCGGGACAAUAGGACUAAAAUACUUGAUAAGUAGAGGGGCUGUGGUGACGGGUGUGGAGCAGGGGUCUGGUGCAGUGAGAUCAACACAGAAAUGAAACUGGGUCAUCGUUUACAACAGUGAUAUUUGCUUAAUCACAUUUCCACACCUGUGUUCAUAGGUGAGAUUUUUUGCAGACAUUUUAGAAAGUCUUCUUCCUUUUCUCAUAAUGUGUUCCUGAAAGUCCAGCCCAGAUUUCCAUGUCUGGUGAAUAAAAACCAUAAUUUUACAAAAGCCCUAAUUUGCACUUCCUAAACCUUUACAGCACAUCAUUCCUACGGACCCAUCCUUUGAAAAGGAGAGGUCAUCACCUUUCCUAGUCCCGUCUCUUUUUCCACUUCAGUUUCUCAGAGAAUGGUGUAGACCUCAGGGUAACAGUUUUAAAUUGAAAGAGUGUGGAUUUAUAUGAGAUAUAAGGAAGAAAUUAUUCACAGUGAGGGAGGUGAGGCACCGGCACAGCUGCCCAUAAAGCUGUGGAUGCCCCAUCCCUGAAGGUGCUCAAGGCCAAGUUGGAUGGGGCCCUUGGCCAGCCUGAGCUGGUGGGUAGCAGCCUUGCCCACACCGGGGGGGGGGGGGGCGGAACUGGCUGAUUUUUAAGAUACCUUCCAACCGAGUGCAAGCAAUUCCAUAGUUCUAUGAUUCUAGUAUAGAACCACAGAAUCUUAGAAUCAUAGAAUUGCUCAGGUUGGAAAAGACCUUGAAGAUCAUCAAUUCACCAUUCAACUUUUGUUUUGAGAACCUUUUGCAGAAGAGGAACUGGUGUUGCUCUGCAAGCCAAACUGUUUUCUCCCUAAGAAAAACACUCUGGGGAGGCUGGUCAGAUGUGCCCGGGUGAUAGAGGAACCCAGGUCUCAGUCCAAGGCAGGAGAAUGUGCGCAUUUAAUUCCCACUGGCUCAUUUCUUUCCUUUGUUGUUGGUAAAGUUCUGGAAGGGAAAAGGACAUAAUUCCAUAAUCUUGUAUGAAAAGUAACUGUAGCAUAUGGUAAUAGCCUCCUUUGAGCUCAUGGCUGUGACAGGGAUGGGGAUGCCAGCAAUGCAGCCAUCCAAGAGGCACCUUGGCUGCACUCAGACCUGCCACUAUGGGAGACAAGCACAUCUACAGCCACUGAAGCAUAAUUCUGAUUGCUGCAUGAGCCCCACUGGGGCUGAUGGAAGAUGUUGGGUUUACAGAUGUCUUGGCAGGAUUGGUGUCGGAAGGGAGUGCACAGAAAUAGGGAGGUUCAGCAAGAGCGGCAUCUCCUGAUGCACCCUCUGGUUUAUCCUCCCACAUGCUACAAGGCACUGAGCUGUGUUGACCUUCCCUCCUGAAUCAAGGGCUCUCUCUGGAGUGUCAGUCAGGAAAGCAUCAUUAGAUAGCGGUGGUGGGGGUGCACCAUCCCCUCCAUAUGGG
ensembl:lncRNA